UUUUUUGCCAGUAUACAAAUCUUUGGAAAAUUGAGCACAAGAGAAAAACAUUUUUUCAAACGUAAAUUGUGGUUUAAGUUACAAUUGAGUCAUAGAUAAAAAGAUAAAAAAGAGAAUUAAAACUGAGCGCUAAAUACUUUUAUUCUCUAUAUAUAUUUCGUUGGUGCAAAGUAUGAGCGGUUUAGUUUCUUGCUUCGAGGGUCUGGUUAUUGUUUUCCCUUGAAUCUCUCUCUCUUCUUUUCUACUUCAUUCAGAUCAUUAUCUAAUUGUUUUGGGAUUCUUUUUUAUUGUUCAUUCGACUUGAAUCUCUCUGUUAUAUUUUUACUUCGAUCAUUAUCUAUGUAGCUCGUGGGUCUUGCUCUUAAUAGUUUUUUUGAAUCUCUUUUGCUUCCACACAUACGACUGGAUGUCGGAAAGAGAGAGAACCUUCUCCGCCGUCACAGCGACCGCAAAAGAGAUCUCAACCACCGGCAAAGAUUCCAUCGAUGUCGCAUGCACGAAACCGAUCACCGAGACACUUUCAAAUUAAUGAAAUUCAGGUCGGCGAGUGGAGUCAAGAUUCUUCCCUCAUCGAAGGUCUCAAAGCACGAAUCUAUGGAGGCUCAGAUAAACUAGUAUGGGAGUUAGACCAUAAACGAGCAAGAAAAAGGAAGAUAAAGAUCGUUUUUGGUAACGUUUCCUCGAUGCAAUUUAGCGCAUGCUCAAACAUAUGCAAGGUUCAGAGACAAAAAAACAAAAAACAAAACAAAAA
rnacentral:sRNA from 1 species